UGCUCGGGAGUACUGCAACAACACUCACCUGGCCCUGGCCACCUUCACGACAUGGGCGGACCUGCUGAUGCUGAGAGCAGCGGCGGGUGGUUCGACGCACUGGAUCGAGCCGAACGAGGCCCUAGAAACUAGUACAGAGACCAUACCCGUGAACCCAAACCCAUGGGAAUGGUCCUUAGGGUCUAUAUUAGAAUAUCUUAAUUUUAAAUCGGGUGAGCCUGUUGUUAAAUGUGCCAUCGGGGUGUGUGUGAAGAUGGAGUCAAAUGGUACCUGGAUUGACCAAACGUGUUCUUCUCUAAACGAUUUUGUUUGUUUUGCUGGACCUCUAACAGAUAAAUUAUACCAUCUCGUCCAACUGAACCUGACGUGGGAGGCCGCCAGAGACCAUUGCCAAUUGUAUUACUAUGACCUCGCUGUGAUUGAGUCUGCCGAGGAGAACGAAGAGGUUUUGUCCACAUUAAAUACAUUAACUACUUCUGCAUGGAUCGGUUUAUACAGAGAGCCGUGGGUCUUGUCUGAUGGGUGCAAAGACGUUCUAAUUUACUGGUCUCCAGAACCAGAAGAGCCUUCAGAAUUAGAAAUAACUCCAGAAUCAGAUAAGCAUCCUCCCAGUGGCCCUCAAAGUAAAAUUGAGGAACCCACAGCCGACAAUUUGGCGCAAUGCGCCAAAUUGGUUUCGGGCGGAUUAAGUGACCACGACUGUGAGGAUGUGCACCCAUUUAUAUGCAAUAGAGCUCUAAGACAGAGAAGAACAAAGAUAACAAUGCAGUCCAGCUUGGAUCUGACAAACCCAAACGCUCAGGACAACAUCCUACUACAAAUGUCUGCACAUCUAGCCAGCACCGGAAUGACUGACUUCCACCUGAGCUGGAGCACUCCGCCACAGAAACCUGAUCCAACUGUCUGGAAGGCUGAUAAGGACCAAUGUUAAUGUUAGGUUCACAUAGUUGCAUGGCUUGAUCACUGACUCCCGAUUCUUGAGUAGUAAAACUAUAUUUUAGUUUGAGAAAUGUAUUAAAAAGUAUGAUGGUGGUUAAUUCAUACAUUACUUUGAAAAACUAUAAAAUAAUAGCUGUUCUUUCGUUGACAACGGUGCAAAAUGUAGGGCUAUAUCCCUGUGUACUGUACACUGUAACAUUUAUAUUGAUAUGUAUUAUUGGAAGCAUAUAUCUUGUGUGGCUAUUUGGUAAUUUUUAAGACAGGACGGCCCUGUCUUAAAAUUUUAAAGUUAACUUUUUUUCACUAAACUCUUUACAAGCAAAUUACCAUAGAACGCAACCUCGUAUAAUUUAAACUUCUUAAGUUGUUGUUGCCCAACUGUGAGUAUAUCAGCAUAGUUUAGAUUGUAGUUGUUAGCUGCAGUUCAAGUUUGACGUGAGAAAAAAAUGUCAUCACAUGUGUGGCAUGUGGUCACAACCAUGUAUGCAUCUUCAUUCUCAGAACCCAUCAUCCAAGGGAAAGCGCUGCAUAAUGAGCAGAGUUGUAGUUCAUGCUCAAGGCCCUAUGGAGAGCAGUCAAGACCAUGUCACUGAGUCUUGGUUGAUGCUUGAGAGAACAGAUUCUAAUGGCUCCGUUGAAUUGUCAAAUAUGUUGUCAUAAAUACAUAAUCUUAAAUGUUAUAAAACUUUAUUAUUUACUUGAACUAAAUCAUAGAUGGAAACAUGUAUUAUGAUAUAAAAUGUAAUUUGAUACAAUUUGUUCUAAGAUAUAACAUGUAAU
ensembl:lncRNA